AGCGAACGCUGGCGGCGUGCCUAACACAUGCAAGUCGAACGUGAAAGUAGCAAUACGAGUAAAGUGGCGUACGGGUGAGUAACACGUGGAUAAUCUACCUUAAAGUUUGGAAUAACCGGCCGAAAGGCUGGCUAAUACUGAAUAGAUCAAAUCUGUUGUAAAGACAGGAUUGGAAAAGGGAGCCUGCAAGGGCCUUCGCUUUAAGAUGAGUCUGCGUCCCAUUAGCUAGUUGGUAGGGUAAAGGCCUACCAAGGCGAUGAUGGGUAGCUGGUCUGAGAGGAUGAUCAGCCACACUGGAACUGAAACACGGUCCAGACUCCUACGGGAGGCAGCAGUGGGGAAUUUUGCGCAAUGGACGAAAGUUUGACGCAGCCACGCCGCGUGAGUGAAGAAGGCCUUCGGGUUGUAAAGCUCUGUCGGAGGGGACAAAAACCACUUUGGUGAAUAGCCUUAGUGCUUGAUGGUACCCUUUAAGGAAGCACCGGCUAACUUCGUGCCAGCAGCCGCGGUAAUACGAAGGGUGCAAGCGUUGCUCGGAAUUAUUGGGCGUAAAGGGCAAGUAGGUGGUCAUAUAAGUCUGGGGUGAAAUCCCUGAGCUCAACUCAGGACGUGCCUUGGAAACUGUAUGACUAGAGUAUCGGAGAGGUUCGUGGAAUUCCUGGUGUAGCGGUGAAAUGCGUAGAUAUGCGGAGGAACACCGAUGGCGAAGGCAAUCCCCUGGACCUGUACUGACGCUCAUGCACGAAAGCGUGGGGAGCAAACAGGAUUAGAUACCCUGGUAGUCCACGCCCUAAACGAUGUCAACUGGUUGUUGGGUGCAUUAGUACUCAGUAACGAAGCUAACGCGUGAAGUUGACCGCCUGGGGAGUACGGCCGCAAGGUUG
rnacentral:rRNA from 1 species